ACUCCUGCGGGAGGCAGCAGUGGGGAAUAUUGCACAAUGGGCGCAAGCCUGAUGCAGCCAUGCCGCGUGUAUGAAGAAGGCCUUCGGGUUGUAAAGUACUUUCAGCGGGGAGGAAGGCAAUACGGUUAAUAACCGUGUUGAUUGACGUUACCCGCAGAAGAAGCACCGGCUAACUCCGUGCCAGCAGCCGCGGUAAUACGGAGGGUGCAAGCGUUAAUCGGAAUUACUGGGCGUAAAGCGCACGCAGGCGGUCUGUCAAGUCGGAUGUGAAAUCCCCGGGCUCAACCUGGGAACUGCAUUCGAAACUGGCAGGCUUGAGUCUUGUAGAGGGGGGUAGAAUUCCAGGUGUAGCGGUGAAAUGCGUAGAGAUCUGGAGGAAUACCGGUGGCGAAGGCGGCCCCCUGGACAAAGACUGACGCUCAGGUGCGAAAGCGUGGGGAGCAAACAGGAUUAGAAACCCGAGUAGUCCC
rnacentral:rRNA from 1 species